UGAUAGAAAUCUUUGUCAUCCCACUUUUUCCCAUAUAAAUACUCUUCCCCCAAAUUUUUUCCGCCAUAUUCAAUUUCAUUUCUCUCCUGGCGAAUACAAAGCAAACGACGAUCUGCUCCGGUAGCCUAGCCGAUUACAACGACGACGAUCCAGCGUCGAUACUAGUUAAUUGUUUAACCGAUUGAAAUGUAGCUGUUCCUCUUUCAUCGCCGUUGAUUUUCAUCGCUUGAAUCUAGCGAUUUAACGGCAGCGAAAAAUUCAAUUUUCGGUAGUAAGGAGGAGGUGAAGAAGGAGAAAUCGCCUGUAGUUUUGGUGUUCCUUAAGUGGAAACAUCCUGUGACGCCGUCAUGCUAAGAGUAUACGAGUACGUUUUUGAUGACCGUCGGCGACCAAGCAGGUUGCAAGGGUGAGCUCAGCGUUGGUACAAAUAAAUUAUGCAUCGAUUGUAAGAGGAGGUGAAGGAGAAAUUGCCGGCAGUUUUGAUGUUUCCGAAGUGGCAACAUCUUGUGACGCCGUCAUUCUACGAGGCAACGACUCUCUAGCCAGUACAGUUUCAGGUGACCAGCAGCGACCGAGCCGGUUGCAACGCGAGCUCCAGUGUCAAUACAAAUAAAUUGUGCAACCGAUUGGAAUGUAGGUAUUCCUCUUCUAUGGCCGUUGAUUUCAUUGACUAAAUCUAGCAAUUUAACAGCACUUCAGUUUCUGGUAGUAAGGAAGAGGUGAAGAAAGAGAAAUCGCCUACAGUUUUGUGUUUAAGAAGAGGCAGCAUCCUGUGAGAAAACCACCUCUCUACAGAAUCAUGCUUAAUAUAUUAAUGAUCUAGAUUUAUUUGACUUAACAAUAAUCUUAAUCAUGCUUAAUAUAUCUUUAUUCUAGAGAAAAAGAUGCUGUAUGAUUUUAGUAAGAAUUUUCAUCAGGUAUAAUCAGCAGAGUUAAAUUAUA